CCAAUAGCGUAUAUUAAAGUUGCUGCAGUUAAAAAGCUCGUAGUUGAAUUUCGGGAUCAAUAUGUUGGUCGUGCCUCGGUACGUACUAGCUUAUUGGUUUCUUCCUUCUGACGAACCAUAAUGUCAUUUAUUUGGUGUUAUGGGGAAUCAGGACUGUUACUUUGAAAAAAUUAGAGUGUUUAAAGCAGGCUCACGCUUGAAUACAUUAGCAUGGAAUAAUGAAAUAGGACGUUUGAUUCUAUUUUGUUGGUUUCUAGGAUCGACGUAAUGAUUAAUAGGGAUAGUUGGGGGCAUUAGUAUUCAAUUGUCAGAGGUGAAAUUCUUGGAUUUAUUGAAGACUAACUACUGCGAAAGCAUUUGCCAAGGAUGUUUUCAUUAAUCAAGAACGAAAGUUAGGGGAUCGAAGACGAUCAGAUACCGUCGUAGUCUUAACCAUAAACUAUGCCGACUAGGGAUCGGAUGAUGUUAAUUUUUUAAUGACUCAUUCGGCGCCUUACGGGAAACCAAGUGUUUGGGUUC
rnacentral:misc_RNA from 1 species